GGGAGGAUGAUCCGCCACACUGGGACUGAGACACGGCCCAGACUCCUACGGGAGGCAGCAGUGGGGAAUUUUGGACAAUGGGCGUAAGCCUGAUCCAGCCAUGCCGCGUGUCUGAAGAAGGCCUUCGGGUUGUAAAGGACUUUUGUCCGGGAGCAAAUCCCAGUGGUUAAUACCUACUGGGGCUGAGAGUACCGGAAGAAUAAGCACCGGCUAACUACGUGCCAGCAGCCGCGGUAAUACGUAGGGUGCAAGCGUUAAUCGGAAUUACUGGGCGUAAAGCGUGCGCAGGCGGUUGUGCAAGUCUGAUGUGAAAGCCCCGGGCUUAACCUGGGAACGGCAUUGGAGACUGCACGA
rnacentral:rRNA from 3 species